GAGCCUGUUUCCGAUUCUGUGUCUCCCUCUCUCUCUGCCCCUCCCCCGUUCAUGCUCUGUCUCUCUCUGUCCCAAAAAUAAAUAAACAUUGAAAAAAAAAAAUUAAAAAAAAUAUAAAUUGCUACAAGAAUGGCAACAUGUAGAAAGUGAGGUAUUGUCAGAUGCUGAUGAGGAUGUGAGGAUAAAAGGAAAAUCGUGGGUGGGAGCAUAAACGGAAACAGGUAUUCCAGAGACUAAUUUGGCAAUACUUCCCGGAGUUCAGUAGGUGUAGACCGUACAACAUAGCAACUGCACUCCUGAAUAUAUAUUCCAGAGAAAUAGAUACCUGGGAAAUUCUUCUCCAGGUCCUUAAGGAAAUACAGUUGAGGUUAUUUGUUCUAGCAUUGUUUGUGGUGGUGAAGAAUUGGGAGCAAUCCAGGUGUCCAUCACCAUGGGACCAGAUAAGCAAACUGUGGUAUAUUUAUAGGAUGCAAAAUAUAAAGCAAUCAAAAGAAAUGAGCUAAAUUCACUAGAGUCGUACAGAUAGAUCUCCAAAGGCUAGUGUGGACUGAAAGGUGAAUGAGAUUUACAGCAUAACACCAUUUAUGUAACUGUAAAACAACACUGUUUUCAUGGAUAUGCAUAUACCAAAAUAAACAUAUGGAAGAUGGGUUGGAAGUGUAUAUACAUGAAAUACACUUGAGUAGCACAGUGAGGUGGGCAGUAGAAUGGGAGUGGGAAUGGGAAUUGAAAGGGAAAAGAUAAUACAAUGAAAUAAAGCAAAAGAGGGGCCUUGGAUAAACUGAGGAAAACAAUACCAUGGACUGAAGAGCAUGAGUAACAACACAAUGCCAAAGUUGACCACAAAUCAAUGAGAACGAACAGGAGGAUGGCCAGAGUUUAUGUGUGGUGGUGUGUGGUGUCAGGACAACAUCCCAGGGCUCCAGCUGUGGGGAUAAGCAGGACCAGUAGCAGCAUUCUCACCUGGCUGCUCCCACAGUGUGGCUUUAGCUGUGGCUUCUGCCCACGUCCCCAGAUUUCUGUGAAAUACCUGAUAACCUUGUAAUAAAUCCCUUUUCUGCUUAAGUUAACUAGAAUCCGUUUCUGUUACCGGCAUCCAAGAAUCCUGACUGAGACACCAUGCAUUUUGGUGGAGAACAUCCUCAAGUAACUUCUUAAGAAAGUCGUGCUGCCUGGAGCUGUGACAGCAAUCUUGUGACUGUGAGGAGCUGAGCAUGAGGAUGAAGAUACAGCACAUGAAGGAAGAAACAGAGCCUGGCUCCCCGAUGGCAUCACUGCGCAGCUGAACCCGUGCCACACUUAUGUUAAUAAUAAACUAACUUCCCGAAAAAUAAAUAAAUGAAUGAGUAAAGCCAUAAGUGUUUAA